AUGAUAUUUUGAGGCUUCAUUUACCACAUAAAGAGUGCUUAUUUUACGCGCUUACUACGCUCCAAUGUAUUACGUUAUAGGAUAACGUGUGUAAAGUCCAGAAUACGCCUAGACAAUAAUAGCUUUUGCAGUUAUUCUUCUGGCAUUCCCCCGAUUUCUUGGCAAUCAGGUAAAAAAAAAUCACUACAAUUCACCAUUUCUGAACAUUAAGAAACAUUUUUAUUUACCAGAUGGGACAGAAAACAGCAAUAACGAUGGUGUUCACGAUACAAGUCGUCGAUCCAUCGACUGAUACCAGCCAACAAGAUGCCACCCCACCAUCUUUCAAUUCUCUGUUCGACCCACCAUCGACUGAUACCAGCCAACAAGAUGCCGCCCCUCCGUCUUACGAGUCUCUGUUCGGUCAGAUCAGGAGUGAAAGAGAAAAACACAAAAAUCCUGUUUCUUUCAUC